GCUAUCGUAGCUUAAUUAAAGCAUGACACUGAAGAUGUCAAGAUGGGCCUUAAAACUGCUCCGAAAGCA
rnacentral:tRNA from 1 species